CAGACCUCUAAUCGGAAAAGACUACCCGCUGAGUUUAAGCAUAUCACUAAGCGGAGGAGAAGAAACUAACCAGGAUUUCCCUAGUAACGGCGAGCGAACCGGAAAGAGCCCAGCUUGAAAAUCGUGGUGCCUCGUACCUCGAAUUGUAGUCUGGAGAAGGUCCCUCUGCGCCGCGCCGGACCCAAGUUCCCUGGAAAGGGACGUCAUCGAGGGUGACAACCCCGUCCGCGCCCGGAACGCGUCGCUCCACGAGGACCUGUCUGCGAGUCGGGCUGUUUGGGAAUGCAGC
rnacentral:rRNA from 1 species